rnacentral:lncRNA from 1 species
CGAGCUCCCGUUCUGCUACGUGGUGGCAGGACCGCUAGGGGAUUGGCUCCGGGUGUAGAUAGGGUUCAAUCUGCAGGGGUCAUGCAAAUACAUAAGCCCUUUCCCUUCUCUUUUGGAUGAAUGGGGUGGUUUAGAAGGCGCUUUCCGAUCUACGGUCCCUCGGAGCGAAGGGUUAGGCAGGUAGUAUGGGCCCUCUGACUUCCAGCUAUAUUAUCAGAGAUGUCAAUUCAAACGGGUUACUGGCGGUUUUAAGAAAGUACAUGGGGGGUUUUCUUUUUCAUUAAGGGCGACUAAUUUUACUGACCCUUUCGACAGACUUCUUUGUCCAUCUCUAUAUGAUAUUUCAU